rnacentral:piRNA from 1 species
GAAAAUAUCACAAGGAGCCUAGUUUAUGUA